UGGGGAAUCUUGCGCAAUGGGCGAAAGCCUGACGCAGCCAUGCCGCGUGGAUGAUGAAGGUCUUAGGAUUGUAAAAUCCUUUCACCGGGGACGAUAAUGACGGUACCCGGAGAAGAAGCCCCGGCUAACUUCGUGCCAGCAGCCGCGGUAAUACGAAGGGGGCUAGCGUUGCUCGGAAUUACUGGGCGUAAAGGGCGCGUAGGCGGACAGUUAAGUUGGGGGUGAAAGCCCGGGGCUCAACCUCGGAAAUGCCUUCAAUACUGGCUGUCUUGAGUACGGGAGAGGUGAGUGGAACUCCGAGUGUAGAGGUGAAAUUCGUAGAUAUUCGGAAGAACACCAGUGGCGAAGGCGACUCACUGGCCCGUUACUGACGCUGAGGCGCGAA
rnacentral:rRNA from 1 species